UAGACACCCUACAUAGAAGACUCUUUCCAGGCACACCCUCUGUUGAGACAUUUUUCUAGGUCUACCUCACCCUGAUACCAUUCUUUGUGUUCUGGUGAAUGUUUUCUAGUAUUUGGUAGGUUUUUUUCACAGUCAUUAUCUCUGCAACAUAUUAUCCCAUCCUUAAAGUUUAAGCUUUUUAUAGAGACACGUCUGCUACUGUCUGCAUCUUCUCAUCUCAGUCCAAUCCUCCAUUGGUUCAGGAUAAUGCCAAACACUCCCUGACUGAUUGUUACUUCUCUCACAUAUUUUUAAGCCUUGCUGUCUUCCUGACAUCCUCUGUUCUGCCCUGUGAAUUCCCAAACCAGGCACAGAACUUCAAUAUGGCCCACCUAGCAUGAAGCCAGAGCAGAUUUCCCCAGAGUUUGUUUCUGUUAACAUUUUUGUGUUUUCUUAUUUCAAAGACACUCAAAAUGGAAUUCAUAUAUUAGUGAUAGUUUUUCAAGCGAAUCCUGAAGACAAAGAGAUUAACUGGAAACCAUGGAAGUAGAGAAUGUUCUAAUGUUGGAAAUUAAUGUUACCAGCUUAGUAGGUUUAUUAUAAAAAUAAAAUGAGUAUAGAAUUAUUAAUAAUGUUAAUAUUUGGGUUCUUUUCCUACAUUAACAGGGAAAAGUAUUAAUAGCAGAUCAUUGUAAGGUAGUAUAGAUGCUAAUUAACAAUGUGGGCUUGAAUCCUUUUUUCCUCCACUAAUUAGGGUUGUGAUUUGGGGCAAGAUGCUUAAUCUCUCUUUGUUUCAGCUUCUCUACCUGUAAAAUUUGGAUAAUGACAAUAAUAUCUCCUCAUAGGGAUGGAAUGAAAACUAAAUGAAUUAAUAUAUACAUAGGAAGCAUGUCAUAAAUAUUAGCAAUUAUUAUAAGACAAUGGCCCCUCUUUAAAUUAUGUUCACUCAUGUUCAAUUAUGAUAAGUUGCAGUAUAUUUUUCUGGUGUAGUUAGUAAAAAAGGUUUGUGUAGGUUUUCUGCAGGAAUUUGAAAGAGUUUGGGCUUAAGAUCCCUGGAAGAGACACUAAACCUAGAAUCAAGCUCACAAGUGACCAGGUUUUCUAGAGUUCUGGGGCCUCAUGGUAGCUCAGGAUCAACCCCGAUUUAUAAACUUGGCACUACCCUCUGCCAAUGUUUACCUCAGUGUUCAACUCUCUUUCUGGAUACAAUAAAGUAAAAUAAAUAAAAUUCGAAAGUUAAAAAAAUGUAUAUGAAAUGAAAUGAAAAAGGGGACUGAAAUACUGGCGUUUUCAGGCCUGUGAUUAUAUAAGCUGUUUCUCACGGAAGGCCCUGUUCUGGGCUGUGGGAGUGCCACGGUCAACAAAAUACAGUACCUGCCUUCAUGGAGGAGACAUUCAAGAUUGAAUAUCUACCCUUCCAUAGUCUCUUUCAUAUUUGGGGACUUGCAACAAUGACAGUAAUUAACACCAACAAAAGGGGGUGGUAAAAAGGUGUACUUAAUUGGCUUUGUACUAACAUCCUUUAUAUUCAUCUAUCGAAGUUACUGUUAUUCAUAUUUAUAUACAUGUAUGUAUACUGAUACAAAAAUCAGACGAUGGAAAUUUAAAAAAAAAUGAAGUAGUAAGCAUACAUCUGUAUAUUUCCUUUCCCAAAUGAAAAA